rnacentral:rRNA from 1 species
AUACGGAGGGUGCAAGCGUUGUUCGGAAUUACUGGGCGUAAAGCGCGCGUAGGUGGUCUGUUAUGUCAGAUGUGAAAGUCCACGGCUCAACCGUGGAAGUGCAUUUGAAACUGGCAGACUUGAGUACUGGAGGGGGUGGUGGAAUUCCCGGUGUAGAGGUGAAAUUCGUAGAUAUCGGGAGGAAUACCGGUGGCGAAGGCGACCACCUGGCCAGAUACUGACGCUGAGGUGCGAAAGCGUGGGUAGCAAACAGGAUUAGAAACCCUAGUAGUCC